UGGGGGCAGACAUUCUUCAGGACCGUAGAAAGGACGUUACUUUUAUCACGUUUCUUAUAUAUUACACGAAAAAUAUUAUUAUAAUUUAAAUAUUAUUACAUAUAUAAAAGACAAUAUAAAUAAUUUAUAAUCUCAAAAACAAAAUUUAAAUAUUCGAUUAUUUUCAUUAAAUUCUUCUAAAUAAUUAUAACAUCAAAUCUAUAUUUAUUUUAUUGCUAUAAAUAAUUUAUUAUCAAUAAAUAACAAAUAUAUAUUCUUAUUCUUAUUAUAUUAUUUUAUUCUAUACUAUAUACUUUAAUAAAAUCUAAUUUUAGAUUGUAGCAUUUUAGAUUAUAUAUUUUAUUAAAAAACCAAUUUAUACAUAUAUAAAUUUUAUUAAUAUUAUGAAUUAUAAGUUAUAAGAAAGUACAAAAUAGAUAUAUAAUAUAAUUUAUGAAUAAAAUAAAUUGUUAUUUUUAAUAUAAGAAUAAAUUAAAAAAUCUUUAAAUGCAUGAUAUAUUCAAUCAAUGUAUAAUAAUGAAAUGUUAUUAAAAUAUUAUUGAUUAAUUUCAUAAAUAUUGAUGAAUAAGGUAAUAUAAGAUACAUAAUUUUAUAAUUAUAUUAAUACACACGUCAGUGUUUAAAUGGAAUAAGAUCGAAGGGAACUUCAAUGCGUGUCUACUUCCAUGAAUAUAUUCGUGCUUCUGCGCAGCUAUACACAUAUAUACAUACUUAUAUAUGUAUACAUAUGUGUCAUUACUAUGACGUGGCGGUCACGUCGUUGCUUCCUCAUACUGUACAGUUGCGAUAGUAUUGUGAAGAAUACGUCGAAGAAUACGUUUUCAUUGAUUCCACAAUCAUUUCAACGAAACAUGAUUGGUACAAUUUUAAAUUUAGAUGAAGAAUUAUAUUCGAAUAUACGCGGCGAGCUGCUUUAUUAGAUAAACGUCCAACAGUUUGUAAGGUGUGAAGAAGCUUGUCUUCUUCAUUUAUAUUCACCACUAAAAUAAAACCAAAAUAUAAAUUAAUAUUACAUUGAUAAUGUGAUUAUCAAUAUAUUAUUGAUAUAGAUUUAUAUCAUUAAUAAAACUUUGUAUGAAGAAAUAUAAACACAUAAAUAAAUACAAUAAAUUUAGAAAUUUAAUUUGAAA